rnacentral:rRNA from 1 species
UACAGAGGGUGCAAGCGUUAAUCGGAAUUACUGGGCGUAAAGCGUGCGUAGUCGGUUAUUUAAGUCGGAUGUGAAAUCCCCGGGCUCAACCUGGGAAUUGCAUUCGAUACUGGAUAGCUAGAGUUCGGCAGAGGGAAGCGGAAUUUCGGGUGUAGCGGUGAAAUGCGUAGAUAUGCGGAGGAACACCGAUGGCGAAGGCAAUCCCCUGGGCCUGCACUGACGCUCAUGCACGAAAGCGUGGGGAGCAAACAGG